GACGCUGAAGUUUGGAGUACGGAUCCUGUCACCCUGGUGGUCCUGCUGGGAAAUCAUAAAACUGGGCUCAUUUAGGAAGAGGCAACGUGGCUAUAUCAGAAAAGCUGCCAUAUGUGAAACCUCACUUUCUGCCUGUUGAAAUUUUUGUAUUUCAGGUCUCCCAGGGACAUGUCCACUGUGCUAUUGUGUAAUUUUAUCAGCAUGAACUUCUGCUGAAUAUUUUUCCUUCUUUUCAAAAUCCAUAUUUUAAUAGAACUAACUUCAAAACUUAAUGUUGCAACAUCUGUGCCCAUAUACCUGGGAGCCAUAGAAGAUGUAUCCUGAAGAUUAUCUACAUUUUCUAAUCUUAUAAAAUGCUACAAAAAAGAGAGAAAAAGGUUAUAUAUUUUUCCUGGUCUGGAUUUUUUUUUUUUUAAAGGAAUCACUUUCUGCCUCCUUAAAAGGAGUCUUAAAAUAAAAGAGAAGGAAUACUUCUAAAGCUAUAAAGAAUAUCUUUACAAAUGUAAUAAAAUACUCAUUUGUUUUGUUUACAGAUAAUUCCUAAUACAUAUGUACAACUUUCCAUUAAGACACUAUUUUGUGAAUACAAAAUCUGGAGCUAUAGCCUCGAAAUGUUUUCAAACAAGACUUUUUAAUAACUAAAUAAAAAGAAAGUAAAAAAAAUUGCUACUUUGAAUUUAUUUACUAGUUUUCUUUUGUGGAUCUAUCAACAGCUCAAUGGUUUCUUUUUUAAAAAAAUAGAAGUUAUGGUUGUGUUUAUUUCUCAAAUGGAAGAUUGAGAUACUGACAAACAAGGAAGUGUUUAUGAAUGGAGAGAAAUGCCUUCCACCUGGCUUCCUUCUAUUAGUUGUUUUAUCUCUUUAGAAUAAAAUACGCAGCAAUGUAAAGAGUUUAGACCAUAUCAAAACUGCUGGCCUGAGAUGGUGCUGCCAACCAAAUGGAUAGAACCAGUUGUUGUUGUUGAAGGAUAAUGUAAAAUAUGUGACUUUCUACAGAUUCAAAAUAGUGAAGAAGAAUGAUAAAUGGACUUG
rnacentral:lncRNA from 1 species